UCGUGUUAUUAGAGCCUAUCAUUUUCUUCGAAAUGAAUAAAGUUUGUUAUUACAGAUUGAUAUUAAAAUAUUCUUAAUUUACGAUUAGAUAAUUAUUAAAAUAUAUUUGCAGAAAUCAUGCAAAAUUUACACUGAAAAGAAAACGCAAGGCACAGCCAGAAAAGUGGAAGAAAAAUAUUAGAAAGAAACGACGCAUGCUUGGACUACAGUACACAAAUUCAAAAGGGAAGACUGUUGAAGCAAAGCGGCUAUUAGAUGCUCGUUGCAACUGCAGAUAUAAAUGUAGAAAAAUCUUCACACAUGAGCAAAGAGAUGCAGUUUUUCAAAACUACUGGAAUAUUGGAUCCUACGAAUGCCAAAAGGACUUUUUAUGUUCCAAUGUGAAGGAAAACACUCCUGAGAGAGUUCGUUCAAGUGCAAAGAAGAGACGUGUGUGUUCAAGAAGCUCCUACCUUGACAAUAAGCGAGUCUGUAAAGAUUUUUUUCUUAGAACGUUAAAUAUUGGCAAUAGGGUGGUAGAAACGGCUUUGAAGUCCUCAUCCACUGGAAUAUUUGCUGCAUUUGACAAAAGAGGGAAACGUACACCACACAAUAAGACCCCAGAAGCAGUGAUUAACCAGGUAAGACAGCAUAUUGAAUCUUUCCCUGCGGUUGAGGCCCACUAUACAAGGCAAGACACAAGGAGAAAAUUUCUUGAAGUGAUCUUAAUAUCACAUAGAUGUAUAGGUUAUAUUAAGAGAAGUGUGUAGCAGAGAAAAAGAAAGCUGUCAGUGCAUCAAAGUACAGAACAGUAUUCUGUGAGGAAUAUAAUUAUUCAUUUCAUGUACCUAAAAAAGAUCAAUGUCAAACAUGUGUCGUAUACCACCAGAAAGAGACAGAUGGUGAAUUAACAGAAACCAUCAAACAGGACUACGAAGAGCACAUUAAAAGAAAGUUAAAAGCAAGAGCUGAGAAAUAAAACGACAAAACUAAACCCAAAGAAGAUAAAUCAUACUGUGUUGCUACUUUUGACUUGGAAGCUGUGUUGCCAGUUCCGUGUUGACUUGUCAGUCAAGUCUACUAUAAGCGGAAACUAAGUUGUUUCAAUUUGUCGUUCUAUUCUUUGGCAGAUGCAAGUGUGACUUGCUACCUGUGGAAUGAAACCGAAGGCAACAGGGGAUCGUGUGAGAUAGGAACUUGCAUCCAGACUUACAUACAGUCAUUGCCAGUGACAACAAAACAUCUGUGCCUUUACUCAGAUUGUUGUUCAGGACAGAAUCGAAACAGGUUCAUUUCAUCAGCUUUGCUACAAGCCAUCAGUAAAAGUCCUAGUUUAGAAACAAUCGAUCAAAAAUUUCUAGAAACAGGACACACUCAGAUGGAGAGUGAUUCGGUGCAUGCAGCAGUAGAAAAUGUUAAUAAGAGGUGUACUUCAGUCUUUGUUCCAAGCGAAUGAGACACAAUCGUUAGAUUGGCUCGGAAGAAAAAAUCCUAUACAGUUGUGCCUAUAAAACACUAUGACUUCCAUAAUUUAAAGUGUCUGGCAAAGUCUGUAUUUCCACAAAAUAUCAUUGAUCUUGAAGGAAGAAGUAUUCAAUGGAUGAAAGUUAAGUGGCUCCAAUUUCGAAAAGCAGACAUAAGCAAUAUUUAUGUCAUGCAUGACUUUGACGAGGAAUUCCAGUGCAUAAAAAUCAAACAGUCACGAAAAGGUAUUUCUCUCAGUUCAAAGCUACCACGACUGUAUACUGAGAAACUGCCAAUAGCAACUGCUAAAAAGAAAGAUUUAAUUUCUUUGUGUAGAAAUGGAACAAUACCCUCGGAGUAUCACAAAUACUACGAAGACAUACCAGAUGAAAAACAAGAGUUCCGCGGUCGGAGAUGACCGCAUUGAAGCCGGAUUUUUGAUUUAAAUGACAGGAAAGUACCUUUCGUGUUUUUGUCAAUGCAAUACUUAAAUUACUGAAAUAUUGUUCAAAGGUCAAAAUGAAAUGUAAGUACUUUUCAAGGCAUGAGCAAACCUUGUGUUAUGUUUUGAAUGCAUGCAUAUACAUGAACAACAAUAACAUUUAAGGUCACAGUGACCUUGACCUUAGAAUGAAUGACCUUGAAAUGACCAGUGGUCAUCUAAGUGUGCUUGCAAACCUUCA